rnacentral:rRNA from 1 species
CACGUAGGGGGCAAGCGUUGUCCGGAUUUAUUGGGCGUAAAGAGCUCGUAGGCGGCUCAGUAAGUCGGGUGUGAAACCUCCAGGCUCAACCUGGAGACGCCACCCGAUACUGCUGUGGCUUGAGUCCGGUAGGGGAGCGUGGAAUUCCUGGUGUAGCGGUGAAAUGCGCAGAUAUCAGGAGGAACACCAGCGGCGAAGGCGGCGCUCUGGGCCGGUACUGACGCUGAGGAGCGAAAGCGUGGGUAGCGAUCCGG